rnacentral:rRNA from 1 species
CGGCGGACGGGUGAGUAACACGUGGGUAACCUACCUAUAAGACUGGGACAACUUCGGGAAACCGGAGCUAAUACCGGAUAAGAUAUCGAACCGCAUGGUUCGAUAGUGAAAGAUGGUUUUGCUUAUCACUUAUAGAUGGACCCGNGCCGUAUUAGCUAGUUGGUGAGGGUAACGGCUCACCAAGGCAACGAUACGUAGCCGACCUGAGAGGGUGAUCGGCCACACUGGAACUGAGACACGGUCCAGACUCCUACGGGAGGCAGCAGCC